rnacentral:rRNA from 1 species
AUGGAGGCAGCAGUGAGGAAUCUUAGACAAUGGGCGAAAGCCUGAUCUAGCCAUGCCGCGUGAGUGAUGAAGGCCUUAGGGUCGUAAAGCUCUUUCGCCAGGGAUGAUAAUGACAGUACCUGGUAAAGAAACCCCGGCUAACUCCGUGCCAGCAGCCGCGGUAAUACGGAGGGGGUUAGCGUUGUUCGGAAUUACUGGGCGUAAAGCGCGCGUAGGCGGACUGGAAAGUUGGGGGUGAAAUCCCAGGGCUCAACCCUGGAACUGCCUCCAAAACUAUCAGUCUAGAGUUCGAGAGAGGUGAGUGGAAUUCCGAGUGUAGAGGUGAAGUUCGUAGAUAUUCGGAGGAACACCAGUGGCGAAGGCGGCUCACUGGCUCGAUACUGACGCUGAGGUGCGAAAGCGUGGGGAGCAAACAGGAUUAGAUACCCCUGUAGUCCC